rnacentral:rRNA from 1 species
CAGCAGCCGCGGUAAUACAGAGGUCUCAAGCGUUGUUCGGAAUCACUGGGCGUAAAGGGUGUGUAGGCGGUUUGGCAAGUCAGAUGUGAAAGGCGGGGGCUCAACCCCUGGACUGCAUCCGAUACUGCCGAACUAGAGAGCUGGAGAGGAGUCUAGAAUUCUCGGUGUAGCAGUGAAAUGCGUAGAUAUCGAGAGGAAUACCAAUGGCGAAGGCAGGACUCUGGACAGUUUCUGACGCUGAGGCACGAAGGCCAGGGUAGCGAACGGGAUUAGAUACCCCGGUAGUCCUGGCAGUAAACGGUGCACGGUUUGGUGUGGGGGGAUUCGACCCCUUCCGCGCCGGAGCUAACGCGUUAAGCGUGCCGCCUGGGAAGUACGAUCGCAAGAUAAAAACUCAAAGAAAUUGACGGGGACCCGCACAAGCGGUGGAGUAUGUGGCUUAAUUCGAUGCAACGCGAAGAACCUUACCUGGUCUUGACAUGCAUUCUGUCCCCUGUGAAAGCAGGGUAGGUUAGCAAUAACCGGUUUUGCACAGGUGCUGCAUGGCUGUCGUCAGCUCGUGUCGUGAGAUGUUGGGGUUAAGUCCCGCAACGAGCGCAACCCCUGUGAUUUGUUGCCAUCGGGUAAUGCCGGGCACUCGAAUCAGACUGCCUAGAUCAACUAGGAGGAAGGUGGGGACGACGUCAAGUCCGUAUGGCCCUUACGACCAGGGCUGCACACGUACUACAAUGCCCAGUACAAUGUGAACCGAAACCGCGAGGUGGAGGAAAUCGAUAAAACUGGGCUCAGUUCAGAUUGCAGGCUGCAACUCGCCUGCA